rnacentral:rRNA from 1 species
UACGUAGGGGGCAAGCGUUGUCCGGAUUUAUUGGGCGUAAAGAGCUCGUAGGCGGUUCGGUAAGUCGGGUGGGAAACCUCCAGGCUCAACCUGGAGAGGCCACCUGAUACUGCUGUGACUCGAGUCCGGUAGGGGAGCGUGGAAUUCCUGGUGUAGCGGUGAAAUGCGCAGAUAUCAGGAGGAACACCGGUGGCGAAGGCGGGUCUCUGGGCCGUAACUGACGCUGAGGAGCGAAAGCGUGGGGAGCGAACAGG